UCAGCCCCAGCCACAGGACUUCAGGUGCUGGAGCCUUCUGAAAGCUGUACACCAAAUACAACAGGAAACACAGUUGUUUCAUCAGCAAGCAUCACCUGAAGCCUGUUUGAGAGACCUCAGCUCCCCUCAGCCCUUGCAGACACCACAAAGAGGUCUUGGGUCUUGCCUAGAAGAAGGUAUCCAGCUUGAAUUCAAUUUUGUCCAAACAGAGGAUGGCAAAAUAUCAAGUGAUAAUGCACUGCUUCACUUGUUCUUUUGCAUUCAGGGGCCCAGGACAAACCAGCCUACAAGAGAUGUGUCACCUGUUUGGCUUCUACGUGGCUGCUCGUCUCUUCAGUGAUUUUAAUCACCAUUAGCUAGUAUCCCCGUCACCAUGCUGAGUCUCCGGCAGCAAAAGCACACAUAGCAGCUACACUGACAUCUGGUAUUAUAAAUACAGGCUCUGCACUGUUGGAUAAUCUGUUAACAGCAGAGUAAGUGACACUGGAAGAGCAAUUAGUAGUAACUACUAAGGCAUCAUGUUCAGGAGGAGAAUAAAGAUUUGUUUGGUAAGCCAUGUAACUA